rnacentral:rRNA from 1 species
AUGUCCAAGGCGGCGCUCUGCAUGAUGGUCGCGCUUGCUCUGACGAGCUGCGCAUUCGCCGGCCGCGUCCUCAACGAGCAUCCCGCCGCGCCUCCGGUACAGGCCGAUCCAUUGCCGGGGCCGACCGAGCCGCCUGUCGACCCAGUGGUAGUGCCGGUGCCCACGCCCGCGCCCGCGUCGUCGUCUUUGCCAUCCGAUGCCGCGGGCGCCGCAGGAGUAGCUCCGGCCACGGGUGUAGGUGCAACCGCCAACGUAGGAGCCGGUGUGGCUGCAGGCGCCGGCGACAGCCCGCUGACGUUCUUCAUGCACGACAUCCUCGGCGGCUCGUCGCAGCCGUCGGCGCUCAUGGCGACCGGGGUGGUGGCGAGCGCCACCGACCUGGCCAGCAGCAACAGCGUCGUCCCCUACGACAGCCUCGUCCAGAGCAACGGCGGCUACAAGAACACCAUCCCCUCCGUCAACGCUGGCGGUGGCGCCACGCCCCAGAACCUCCUCCUCGGCAUGACCACCGUCCUCGGCGCCGCGGCCGUCGGCAGGGCGCAGGGGUUCUACGUCGCGAGCUCGCAGGACGGAAGCAGCAAGACGGUCGUGCUGACGGCCAUGUUCGGCGGCGAAGUGCACGGCGACACGCUCAGCUUCUUCGGGGUGCACCGGACGGCGGCGCAACAGUCCCGCAUCGCCGUCAUCGGCGGCACAGGGAAGUAUGAGACCGCCAAGGGCUUCGCCGCCAUCCGCACGCUGCACCCCGGCGACCAGCACACCACCGACGGCGUCGAGGGCCUCCUCCAGUUCGACAUUCACCUCUCCUGA